rnacentral:rRNA from 1 species
UGUAAGCGUAUACCAAAGUUGUUGCAGUUAAAAAGCUCGUAGUCGGAAUUUGGCAGUUCCGGAUGUGUGCACGUCGUGUGCGCACUUCGCGGGGAUUGCUUUUGUGGUCUUGCGUAGGAUGAGGCACUUUUAUUAGUGAACGUCCUCACGCAACCACUUUUUACUGUGAGAAAAUCAGAGUGCUCAAAGCAGGCAUUUGCCGUGAAUGUAUUAGCAUGGAAUAAUAGAAUAGGACUUGGUUCUAUUUUGUUGGUUUGUUGGGACUGAGUAAUGAUUAAGAGGGACAGUUGGGGGCAUUUGUAUUUCGGUGCUAGAGGUGAAAUUCUUAGAUUACCGAAAGACAAACUGCUGCGAAAGCGUCUGCCAAGGAUGUUUUCAUUGA